rnacentral:rRNA from 1 species
GGACUACCCGGGUUUCUAAUCCUGUUUGCUACCCACGCUUUCGUGUCUCAGCGUCAGUUACGGUCCAGAAAGCCGUCUACACCACCGGUGUUCCUCCUGAUAUCUACGCAUUUCACCGCUACACCAGGAGUUCCACUUUCCUCUCCCGCACUCGAGUCGCUCAGUAUUCGGCGCACCCUCCCAGUUGAGCCGGGAGAUUUCACACCAAACUUAAACAACCGCCUACACACCCUUUACGCCCAGUAACUCCGAACAUCGCUCGCUGCCUACGUAUUACCGCGGCGGCUGGCAC